GGCUGGUCAUCUCCGAGAGCAGCGUCGGCCGUUGGUGAGCGGCCUUUUUCGACCUUCGAUCCCUUCCCUAGUCGUCCGGGCUCUACCCUCGUCAUAGGGCUGGACCGCUCCCAGUUGCGGUCCAUUGCUCGUCUCGCGCCCGUGGCUGCGAGACAGAGCUCGUCUCGCGCCCGGCAGCAGGACCGUGCUUGUCUCGCGCCCGGCAGCAGGACCGGCCUCGUCUCGCGCCUAGUAGCAGGACUGAGCUUGUCUUGCACCCGGUGCAGCAGGACGAGUGAUGGAGGCCUUUUUUGGGCCGGCCCUUUGGGUCUCGGCGCCGGGGGCCGUCCAGGGGUGUGUAAAGGAGCGACCUUUCCACUCGUCUCUUUGGUUGGGGUAGCGACGGAUCUCGGGUGCGGUGGUGUCAAGGUCUUGGAUGUCGGGGCGGCGGCCCUGGUGGUGGUAGCGCGGUGCUCAUGGGCAGAGCCCGUGGCUUGGUGCUGCCCGGUGACCAUGGCCGUGUGGGCGGCAUGGUGGCAAGGGUGUGGCGUUCGGUGGCGGUGAGUGUUUGCUGGUGUGAAAACCUGUUCUAUCCUCGGACGGACCGGCGGCGGCGUAGCGCGUUACCUUCUUGAAGGCGUCGUCACGGCUCUCACCGGUCAUCGUGUCGCUCCAGAGGAAACUCUGACCCCCGGGUCAGGCGGUGGCGGCGCGCUAGCGUCGUAACCUUCUUGGAGGCGCCGCCUUGGAGCUCUCGGUUCGUCAUAUGCGGCUUCAUCUCUUCGCGGUGGCGUGUUUCCGGUGGAGAUCCCUGAUUGCUCUUGUAGUGUUAGGGGUGGUGUUGCUGCGCACAACGCCUAUGUAUCCCGCCUUGGGUGUGUGCGUGUGUUGUCGUGGGGUGUGCUUGUACUUGGGUUGUGGUUGAUCUGUGCUUUAUAUAUAAAGCGGGGCGAAAGCCUUUUUCGGUAACUAAUCUCAGAGUCAGAUCUCAAAAUUGAAACUCAAGUUAGAAUAUACUCAGAGCCAACAUCAGCUGGGCUUGGCUAUGUGCACCUCUGGAAGAGGCAGGACAAAAAUCAAGUAGUACCUGAGGCGACAGCCCCCAAUACACUAGGCUUCAAUGCUUGCCUGCUUGCCCCCGGCAGCAGUGUUGCCUCCUUGAAUCAGCUGCUGCGUCAAAUAUGCUCGCUGUAAUCAAGAAGCAAUACUUGUUUGUUUAAUCAGGUGGAGAAGAAGAAAAAUGGCAACUUGACAUAAGGCUUGUAGCUGGAGUGGAUUCCCCUUUUUAAUCUAUACCUGCCCAAUUUUAUUGCCGUUAAUUUAGUGGAUACUAGCAUUUUCCACAUAAUAUGUAAUUUAU
rnacentral:lncRNA from 1 species